rnacentral:rRNA from 1 species
UGCUUAACACAUGCAAGUCGAACGGAAAGGCCCUGCUUUUGUGGGGUGCUCGAGUGGCGAACGGGUGAGUAACACGUGAGUAACCUGCCCUUGACUUUGGGAUAACUUCAGGAAACUGGGGCUAAUACCGGAUAGGAGCUCCUGCUGCAUGGUGGGGGUUGGAAAGUUUCGGCGGUUGGGGAUGGACUCGCGGCUUAUCAGCUUGUUGGUGGGGUAGUGGCUUACCAAGGCUUUGACGGGUAGCCGGCCUGAGAGGGUGACCGGCCACAUUGGGACUGAGAUACGGCCCAGACUCCUACGGGAGGCAGCAGUGGGGAAUAUUGCACAAUGGGCGGAAGCCUGAUGCAGCAACGCCGCGUGCGGGAUGACGGCCUUCGGGUUGUAAACCGCUUUCGCCUGUGACGAAGCGUGAGUGACGGUAAUGGGUAAAGAAGCACCGGCUAACUACGUGCCAGCAGCCGCGGUGAUACGUAGGGUGCGAGCGUUGUCCGGAUUUAUUGGGCGUAAAGGGCUCGUAGGUGGUUGAUCGCGUCGGAAGUGUAAUCUUGGGGCUUAACCCUGAGCGUGCUUUCGAUACGGGUUGACUUGAGGAAGGUAGGGGAGAAUGGAAUUCCUGGUGGAGCGGUGGAAUGCGCAGAUAUCAGGAGGAACACCAGUGGCGAAGGCGGUUCUCUGGGCCUUUCCUGACGCUGAGGAGCGAAAGCGUGGGGAGCGAACAGGCUUAGAUACCCUGGUAGUCCACGCUGUAAACGGUGGGUACUAGGUGUGGGGUCCAUUCCACGGGUUCCGUGCCGUAGCUAACGCUUUAAGUACCCCGCCUGGGGAGUACGGCCGCAAGGCUAAAACUCAAAGGAAUUGACGGGGCCCCGCACAAGCGGCGGAGCAUGCGGAUUAAUUCGAUGCAACGCGUAGAACCUUACCUGGGUUUGACAUGGAUCGGGAGUGCUCAGAGAUGGGUGUGCCUCUUUUGGGGUCGGUUCACAGGUGGUGCAUGGCUGUCGUCAGCUCGUGUCGUGAGAUGUUGGGUUAAGUCCCGCAACGAGCGCAACCCUCGUUCACUGUUGCCAGCACGUUAUGGUGGGGACUCAGUGGAGACCGCCGGGGUCAACUCGGAGGAAGGUGGGGAUGACGUCAAGUCAUCAUGCCCCUUAUGUCCAGGGCUUCACGCAUGCUACAAUGGCUGGUACAGAGAGUGGCGAGCCUGUGAGGGUGAGCGAAUCUCGGAAAGCCGGUCUCAGUUCGGAUUGGGGUCUGCAACUCGACCUCAUGAAGUCGGAGUCGCUAGUAAUCGCAGAUCAGCAACGCGGCGGUGAAUACGUUCCCGGGGCUUGUACACACCGCCCGUCAAGUCAUGAAAGUUGGUAACACCCGAAGCCGGUGGCCUAACCGUUGUGGGGGAGCCGUCGAAGGUGGGACUGGUGAUUAGGACUAA